AUAACAAAAUGCUUGAGAACUGAAAGCCAAAAUUGGGAGUAUAAUCCGGAUAAAUAAACGAAUCUGAUCUGAACUAAAUCAAAACAAAAUACUCAAUCUGAAAAGUAAAAACGAACCAUAUAUCUUAAUCUAACUUAUAUGAUUUUUU
rnacentral:sRNA from 1 species